rnacentral:rRNA from 1 species
AACGAACGCUGGCGGCAUGCCUAACACAUGCAAGUCGAACGAGACCUUCGGGUCUAGUGGCGCACGGGUGCGUAACGCGUGGGAACCUGCCCUUAGGUUCGGAAUAACUCCCCGAAAGGGGUGCUAAUACCGGAUAAUGUCUUCGGACCAAAGAUUUAUCGCCUUUGGAUGGGCCCGCGUUGGAUUAGCUAGUUGGUAGGGUAAAAGCCUACCAAGGCGACGAUCCAUAGCUGGUCUGAGAGGAUGAUCAGCCACACUGGGACUGAGACACGGCCCAGACUCCUACGGGAGGCGGAGUUGGGGAUAUUUGGCCAUGGGCCGAAGCCCUGUCCAGCAAUGCCGCGUGAGUGAUGAAGGCCUUAGGGUUGUAAAGCUCUUUUACCCGGGAUGAUAAUGACAGUACCGGGAGAAUAAGCUCCGGCUAACUCCGUG